AGUAACGCGUGGAGAACCUGCCGUAUACUGGGGGAUAACACUUAGAAAUAGGUGCUAAUACCGCAUAAGCGCACAGCUUCGCAUGAAGUGGUGUGAAAAACUCUGGUGGUAUACGAUGGUUCCGCGUCUGAUUAGCUUGUUGGUGGGGUAAUGGCUCACCAAGGCGACGAUCAGUAGCCGGCCUGAGAGGGUGAACGGCCACAUCGGGACUGAGACACGGCCCAAACUCCUACGGAAGGCAGCAG
rnacentral:rRNA from 1 species